GAAGACAACAUACUCGGAAACAUUUCAACGGAAAAAUUGAUGAGAAAAUAUUGGAGGGAAUCGUGCAUAUUACAGAUGCAUUUGAGAAACAAUGCAGAGCUAUUCCACGCCUCUCCCCUCCCUUAUGGAAGCAUUUCAUGCAGUAAAAUUCUAUGAAUGCAUAGCAGUGGUAAGCACAGUGAAAUCAGUGGCUACACCUAAGAAAAAGAGAAGAAUAAAAUGUUUAGGCACAUGAAUUCCCUUUCCAAAUUGGUCCUAAUACCAUCGAACUUUAUGUCAUAUCCCAUGCUGAUACCCAGCUAGGUAUCCUGCAUUCAAAAACAACAGCAAGGUAAAGAAAAUACAAAACUAUUCCUUCACAUGAAAAAUUAAAAUGAUAGUAAUAUGACUCUUGAAGAUAAAAUAACUGCAAUGUAAUUAGAAUAUUCCCCUCAUGACGCCUUUUCUGCUUCAUUACAUCAAUAUCAACAAGAUACUUGUCCUCCAAAUAAGAGUUAGGCAUCAUAACCACCACAAACUCACACUAGAAAGUGCAUUCCAUACUCAGAGAUAUGCAUGCCUGUGAUGAAGCAAAUGAAUAACAAGUGGUGGUACACCAAAUAAGUGUUGCAAUAGAAGAAUGUGACAUGGCAAAUACCAAAGUAAAAGUUGUAUGAUUCCUCUUCAGUUUUCACACUUAACUUCAAGAAGUUUCAUGAAAGAAUAGAAGUUUAGCCAUUGAUUAUUUGGCAAUGCAAUAAAGGAAAUCUAACAAGAUCCGUGAUUCCAACAGAUGACCAAUCUGUGUCUACAUUGCCACAAAAAAGAUAACAUCCCAUCAGUUGCAAAAGCAACAGCCACAAGGAUAAAAAGGACCAAUGAAAAACAUUAAGCUUUAGAACUCCGAUGCUGCAUUGUGUACUGGAAAUUGUCUCAUCAUCUUCCCAAAUUUUAUUCCAAGAGGAAAACUAAAAAUCUGUGAUUAGUGAUGAUGAUCAUCAUCCCCAUGUCCAUCUGGAGGUCCACCAGGGCCCACAACUUCCAGCACAAAGUACUGUGAGCACACUGGACAUUCAUGAGGCUUGCCUUUCUCCAGCCAAAACCAGACAACAUCAUGCUCAUCCUCUCCUUCACCUCCAGGGCAACCAACAAUUCUCUUGUCAUAGUAGGACUUGACAACAGCUGGGGCAUCCUUUGUGCCAAAAGGACCAACGGGAUGGUUAAUUUCAAGAACAUCCUUCCCCUGAAGCUCAGCCGUAAGCUCCUCCAGCUCAUGUCCAGUAGCAAUAGGCAUUAUAUCUUCAAUCUUCUUUUUCACAGCACCAUCUGACUCGACAGUGAAGUAGCGACGGAAGAGAGAAGCGGAAGGCGAUGGAGAAAUGAAUGAUUGAUUAGGGGAAGCGAAUCGAGAGGUGGCGACGGAAGCAGAUCGACAGGAGGCUAGGGUUUUGAACUGUGAAGAGAGUGCUCUUCUCCACAUCGUCGUCGUUUUGUGGAUAUUGAUUAGUGUGUUCUCCUGUGAUCCAAGGUCACACCCUGUAUGUAUCUCUGGUUUUCUUUCUGCUAUUGAGCUUCUCUCUGUAUAGAGACUGCAAUAGUUUCAGGGAAGGAAAUGGAGAGAGACAAGUGGGGUGGCGAUGGGGUUUCACUGUUUCAGUGCCAUGGUGAAUGUAUGGGGAUUGAAU
rnacentral:misc_RNA from 1 species